rnacentral:lncRNA from 1 species
AUUUCACAAAGUAAGAACCAUAGGUAAACAUUGUGUGCAUGCUAGGAGCAUGGGACAAGUGUUGGAAUUCAAGUAAGAAGUUGAUUACCCGAAACGACAAAUAAUGAGUAAUCAAUAUGGUGAUAAAUAAAAGGUGUUUUAUUUAUACUCAAAGGUUUGAGGCCAUAUGGGAUUAGUAUUAUUCUUGUGUUUCACAUUUGCAUGUUUUGACUUCCAGAAUAAUUGAGUUUAUUAAGAAUAAUCGAAUUAUUCAAACGGGCCACAGUCGUUCAUAUGUUGGAAGUAGAUAUGAAUGAAGACUGUCGUGAAUUGGUGUGUGGAUUGUCUAAAAGAGUAUUAGACAUAAGCAAAUGUUUGCUGCAACGUUCAUGAGUGCUUAUGAAUGUGAUUUGAGCAUUGGAUUAAACCCACGCUCACUUGGAUCACUCCAUGAAUUGUAUCACGAGUGAUUGGUGAGACGAUAACAUCUUAUAUUCUUGAAACCGAGAUGUGUGAGUUGUAUCUUGCAAAUCGGUUGCACAUUGAUAAUAUGUAAACGCACUAGUAACUUGGUGUUAUAAAACAUAUUGUUGUGUGUGAUUCGGUGAGUGAGUGCAAGCAAGCAUUGUAUCAAAGUUUAUCCGUUCCUUUUAUCCAAAGUAGGAUAAAAGCGAUAUCUUUGGGCCCCUCGAUGGUUUAGUGAUGACAAACGUAAAUGCUCGGCCGGGCUAGGGCUAAUUUGAUUUGUUCAAUUAGUCAGUCGUCAUAAAUCGGAAAUCGAGAUAUAGUACAAAGAGAAUGAUUUGAAAUCAUAUCUCAUAUGAUAUCUAGAAUGGAGGAAUAUAUGAUCCCUUAUCUAAGGACACGCGUAUCUGAUAUGAUCAGAGUUGACAGCGGCUUUGGAAAGCUACGAUUGCAGAUCGGGAUCCGAAGUCAUACGCAGAAUAGUUGUUAGACUUAUCCAAGUGGGAGACUGUUGGAUUAGUGUCUAAGUCCAUAACUAUUUUGGUAUGUACUUGACCCGAUGGUGCAUGGUCCUUUUGGGUUGCCUUCACCAAAGCAACUUGAUUGGAGAAAUAAAUAGAGAGAGAGGUUAUUAUGAUUUAUUAAUAUGUUAUAAGAAUAAUAUAUUAAAGGAGAAAUCAUAUUUGUUUAAUUAAUAUUGGUCAAUAAUUAAUUAAGAAUUAAUUUUGUGAUCAAGUGUAAUUAAUUAAACUAGAGGGGCUGAAUUGUAAUUAUGUGAUAGUUACAAAAUAAGGUAAGGAUUAUCUUAUAUAUAUGGUGAACGAAUUUGAGGUGUAAAUCCCUUAGAAUUCGACUAGGAUAAGGAUUUCUAGGACUUAUCUUAUGGUUGCUUGGUGGACAAGCAACUAGAUAAGGAUAAGGACUAAAACCCUAAUCUUUACACCUAUAUAAACCCCCUAGGGCUUAGGAAUUCGUCUAACCCUUCCCAAGAGGUCCUAAGGACGAAUUCUAACCUCCCUCCUCUCUCUUUAUACCUUCUCCACUUGCUUAUGGUGUUUGUAAGCCAUUAGAGGAGUGACACUUGUGACUCUCAGCUUUCCAAGGUCAAUUCAAGGAGGAAUUGGAUUGUUAUUGCUAUAUAACAAUCAAGGUAUGUUCUUAAACCUAAUUACAUGUGAAUUCUGAUUUCCAUAUGCUAGAAUUAGGGUUCAAAGUCUUGGAUUCAAAGUAUGUACAAUAGAGAAACCUAGAUCCAAGCUUUAGGGUUUGUAUGAGCACAUAGGAUGUCUUAUGACCAAAACCCAUCAGUGGUAUCAGAGCCAUGAUUGGUUUCUAUUGUAUUGAUGCUUGAUGUAACUGAAAAUCGUGUUUUGGCCUCACUGUUCGACCUGACUCGGCGAGUCAGCCCUACUCGGCGAGUUCCAGAGGGUGACUCGGCGAGUCGGUGCGUCAGAUAGUGCUUAUCUCGGGAUUUCUUGCUGUUUUUGCAUUGGGAUAAUUACCUUAUCAUGUUAGAUUAAUAUUAAUCCGAUUAUAUGAUAUAUUUGACUAUAUUUUUAAUCUAAUUGAAGAUAUUUAUCAAUUAAUAAGAUAAUUGUUUCCUUAUAAGAUAAUUGAUUAAUUAUUUUAAGUAAAUUGAUAAAUUAUUUUGCAAGAAAUCAUCAAAUAUGGAUAAUUAUGUGAUUAAAUGUUAAUUUGAAUUAUUUGUUAUUUGAUCCUUGUUGUUGUGAAAAGUUUCAUAUUUGGCCCUUUAGGUUUUAUAGUUUAAAUUUGAACCCCAAAAGUUUUGUUGUUUUGAAAUUUAAAUAGUUGAAACCCUAAUGUUUUGAAAAAGGUUUCAAAACUUGCCCUCAAGUUUUGGAAUUUAAAUUUUGAUUAAAUAGUUUAAUUUUGAUGCAUAUUUAAAUUCUAAACCCUAAUGUGUUGAAAUGUUUCAAAACUUGCCCUCAAGUUUUGGAAUUUAAAAGUUGAUUAAAAGUUUAAUUAGGAAUGUUAAAUUCUAAAACUCUAGUAUAGUUUUGAAAAAGUUCAAAUCACACCCUUAUGGUUUUAUUAAUUAAUUAAGGUGUAUAAUUAAAAGAGGUUUAAUAAAUCCAUAAAAGUUUAGGUUUACAAUUUAAUUGAAUUAAAAGUAUAAUUGUUAAAUUAGACCACCUAGUAUUUUAAAAGUAUAAAAUACACCCUAUACUAUAUAUAACAUUAAAAGUCUAACAUUAUAUAUAUGUAUGAGUAAAAGUCAGUCUUACCGUUAGUAGGCCUCAUUCACGAAGCUGGUCUAUAAGGGGUGUUUAAGGAAAUUGCCUAUAAAAUGGCGAUUGAAUGGGUAUCCACUCUUACCCACCGCACUCUUGACUAGUGGAGGGUCGUUAGCCGAACGGGUAGGAUAGGACGAAACCUUCCAUUAUAAGUAUAAUGAAUUAUUAAAGUAACUAAAUGUUUUCAUAAAAUUCCCAAUCUUAGUUACUUAGGCAAAAGUGAAUUGAUGCAAUUCCAUGAAAUUACACUUUGUGCCCUUGCGAAGACGUUAGUGGAGCGUGUGUGGUUAACCGGCACACUAAAUGGUUCUAAGCAAAGGUAGCAAAGGGUGACUCAAUGUUUGUCAUAGUUCGGUGGAGCGUGUGUGGUUUACCGGCACAUCGAAUAGGUGACUGUAACAUGUGAGGGCACCAUGUAAGUUUGCAUGGUUAUUCACACCCGCUUUGUGAUCCUCGGCAUCCCAGUCACAAACAAGAGGGGCAUAUCGAGAUUUAAACAUGCCAUUGAAAGUUCAAUGAAUCUCAAAGGAUCUAGGAGUUUUCAUAGAUUUAAAACUUAAAUUUCUUUUUCGUUUUUCAUGGUGGAAAUUAGUGAAUCGUCAUUCACUUACCUUCAAAUAUUCUGCAAUUAGGGUUACGGCAUCCCUCUCCCGAGUUGUAGAAUAUUGUGUUGGGUCCUAGCCUUAGUAUCUCAUUUGGGUGAUUUACUAAGGACUCAAUCAAUCAACUAACUUGAAUUCGUUUUCUCCCGUUUUGUAGAUGUCAAAGUUCGACAACUAUGGUCUUCCCAAAUCCCGUGGAACAAGCAUUCCACAUGAAGAUGAUAUUCCACGAUUCGAUCGAGGAACAAGAAAUCAUGCUUCACUUCCUCCUCCUCCUCCAAUUAUUCUCCCUAACCCACAAGUUCAAAGGCUUGAAAAGUUCAAGAUCACUCAAGCCCUUUUGGCAAGUAAACAUAAAGAAGGAAAGUCGGUGUGUGCACACGUCCUAGGGAUGAAGUCACACAUUGAUAGGUUAAGAAUGUUGGGAUCCGUUGUCUGUGAGGAAAUGGCUGUUGAUUGGGUUCUUCAGUCACUUCCUAACUCAUAUAGUGAGUUCGUAAGAGAGUACUAUAUGAUGAACCGCGACGUGACCCUUAUAGAUCUCACCUAUAUGCUUAUUGCUGCUGAAUCAGCAAUGGUUUGGCGCAAUAGAAAAGCAAAGUUGAUUGGUGAAUCUGCCUUCAAGACCUCUAUGGAUAUAGACAAUGGCAACGAAAGACAUGCUAUGAUCGAAAAGUUUGAUCAUAAGAGAAAGGCAAUGUCUGAAGUAGUUCCAUGUCAUGUUCCAAAAGAGUCAAUUUGCUUUUAUUGCCAAGAGAAAGGGCAUUGGAGACGAAGCUGCCCCAUUUACCUAAGAGAUCUAAGAGAUGGGAGAGUCGAAACGUAUGGCUCUAAUAUAGGUAAAAUCCAUUAACUAACUCUUUUAAGCUUCUAUUCUAGAUUCUUAAUACAUAAUGUGAUAAGAUUACAAUUGAUGUUUUGUAGGAUCGAAGAAAAGAAAGGAAGCUUAAGGGAAGAAGUGAGCAGAAUCUAACCGUGAAGGAAUGGAUUUCGAUCGCAUUUCUCGAAGAUUAGAUUCUUGAGCUACUACUUAGAGUUAGAAUUAGAUUGCUAAGAAAGAUGUAUUAGCAUAGUUUUUCAAUGAAUUGCAUUGUAAGGACAAAUUUUUUCCGCAAUAAAAUAAAUUUUGAUUUUAUAUUAUUUAUUUAUCCUUGCAAUGGCGUAUAUGAAAAAUUGAUGUUUGAAUGUUUCUAUUAUUAGCAAUAAUGGAUUUGGUUCUUAUUAUGUUAUUUAUGGAAAGUCGAGAGUUUACCAAAUAGGGAGAGUUUCUCAUCGCCCAAGUUUCAAUUGGACAGAAACUUGGAAUCAUGCAACUUGGUUGCACGAUGAAUGAGAAAUUUCAUAUUUGGAAAUUAGACUAAUUCAUUGACAAAGUGUCAAGUGAAGGACUAGGAGAUCGAGUACACAAAGUUGCGUGUUGAUCAAGUCCACCAUAAGAGUAACAAAGAUAUUCGUCAUGAUUUACUAAAGGUUUAGUAAAUAUGAUUAUACUUAUAAGAUUAAGUGUAAUUCUGAAUUGAUUGAAAAAGUUUAAAUCAAUAGCAGAACGAAUAAGAAGAAUCAAGUAGGCAGAAAGAUAAAAGUUUCUCCAUUCUAAGAAGAAGGGAGAGUACCUUUUAUGCUUUAUGAUAGGUCUUAAUGAUUAAGAACCAUAUCUCAAUUGAUCCUCUAAGUGAGUCUUAGUACAAUUGUAUGUCUAAGAAGAGGAAUCAAGAAUUGAAGAAAUGGUUAAAUCAAGAAGUCAAUCAUACUUCGUUCCAAAACAAGUCUUAGAGUUAAGAUUGUGACAUUGAGUGAAAAGUAUUAAGAAGGUUUAUAACAUUCAUCAAAUGUGGAAAGUUGUGAUGUCUUGGAUAAGACAAAGACCAACUAGGACCAAUUUAUGAAGUGUUUUGAUAAAAACUACACUAACUCUUGAAUAUUUGUUUGUCAAGAAAUGUUUAUUGACAAGAGAAUCUUAUAUGUCAAGGAGUCAGUGGGAGUCUUAAUGGUCUUGAAAGGUUUCAAGAACAAAUCAAAUAAACCUUAUCGAUCAUCACUAGCACACGAGUUGAGGUUUACAACCUAUCGUGUUGACAUUAUUUUGUUUCUGUGCCAAUCCAAUCGAGUUAAUUAUGCAUGUGAGUUCUAUGAGUUCUCAUUUUGAACGCAUAAAAGGCAAAGCACCUUAAUCAAUGAAAGGUACAUUGAUAGGAAAGGGUGAGCUGCUUAACUACUUGGAAGACAUGGUGGGCAGCUGUGCUACCAUAAGGCAAGAAAUCAAGAUUAAGAAAGUUCGGUCCAUAUGAGUUUGAAUUUGUCGUAAACUUUGGUUUUAACAAAUUCACAUGGAUAGGAACACAUACACCGUUUAAAUCUAAGUGUCAUAAGAUUUCCUCCUUCAUGAAAAUGAUUGUGAGGAAAUGCUUUCACUAAGAAAGAUUUUAAGAAGAUAGUGAUUGUAAAAUUGCAUUCUCGAAUUCGAUUAUGGUUACGGUAUCCCUUUCCAUAAUUUGAAUUGUGAGGUUUGGCAAUUAGUCUUAAUUGUUUAGACACACAUAUGAACUAUCGAAGGCAAAGGUGUAUAAGUUCAAGAAGCCUUGAUAAAAGAUUAUCAAAGCACUAAGUAUUAGAAACAUGAACUUAAGAAAUUCAAUAAGUAUUGUUUUUCUGAAAGUUAAGAUGUUUAUGAAUACAUGUCGAAGCUAGUGGGAGCAUAAGUGUUAUGUUUUAUAAUAAUCAUCAUGAUAGUGGGAGCAUAAAUGUUAUGAUUGUAUGAUUAUUAAGGAAAGUAUUGCAAGUUGGCAAUAUUAAUUAUAGAAAACAAGAGUCAUACUUUGCAAAGUUGUAAGGGUUGAAAGGUUGUUUUGCUAUAAUUAAGGGAGAGAAUAUUAUGCUUCAUUUCAAAUCUAAAGGAUUAGGUUGAGAAAUGUUAAUAAAUUUAGUCAAAGGUACAUAGUGUGUUCUUAAAAUUUCGAUUAUGAUUACGGCAUCCCUCUUCACAAUUCGAAUUUUGAGAACAUAGCAAAUAAAACAUUAUGCGUCGUGUCCCAUACGCUUCGGGUAUAGGAUCGAUUGCAAAUGCUUUAAUGUUUGACCAUUCUAAAAUUUUCCAAAUGUCGAGCGCAUUUAGAGGGAAAAGGGACUAGAAUUGGUUUUGACUAAAAUAAUUAAACAACUAUCAAAGGACAAUCCAAAGUUCGACGAGGAUUGGUCGCUUGUGAGUAGUUGGAAGUAUAGUAUUGGAAAAUAUGGAAAUGUUUCCAUAUUGGAUGGACCAUAUCGACAUCAUUACGAAUAGAUAAGAUUCUAUUAAGAAUGAGUUGUCAUAUGGAAAAUAUGGAAGUGUGUCCAUAUUGGGAAUUGAAUAUUGAGAAAUCUAUGACUAGAUUAGAAACUUCUAUGCAAAAGGAUGUUCAAAGAAUGUACUUUGAGUGAGAGACAUCACGUCUAUGGAAUUGUCUUGUAACAAUCUCCGAUAGAGGACUUUGUAAUAUCAUUGGCAAUAGUCUUUGUGACUUUGGUGCAGUGACAUUACGAAAGGAUAGUUGCAUAGAAUGUUAGAAUCUAGCAUAUUCUAUAAGUAGCAAGAAUUUGAUAUUCUUUAACUUAUGAAAAACGGAUUUGGAGUUGUGAAAUGAGAAGGAUUGGAAAUGUGUUCAAUGUGAUCUAUUUCACAAAGUAAGAACCAUGAGUAAACAUUUGUGCAUGCUAGGAGCAUAGGACAAGUGUUGUGAUUCAAGUAAGAAGUUGAUUAACCCGAAACGACAAAUAAUGAGUAAUCAAUAUGGUGAUAAAUAAAAGGUGUUUUAUUUAUACUCAAAGGUUUGAGGCCAUAUGGGAUUAGUAUUAUUCUUGUGUUUCACAUUUGCAUGUUUUGACUUCCAGAAUAAUUGAGUUUAUUAAGAAUAAUCGAAUUAUUCAAACGGGCCACAGUCGUUCAUAUGUUGGAAGUAGAUAUGAAUGAAGACUGUCGUGAAUUGGUGUGUGGAUUGUCUAAAAGAGUAUUAGACAUAAGCAAAUGUUUGCUGCAACGUUCAUGAGUGCUUAUGAAUGUGAUUUGAGCAUUGGAUUAGACCCACGCUCACUUGGAUCACUCCAUGAAUUGUAUCACGAGUGAUUGGUGAGACGAUAACAUCUUAUAUUCUUGAAACCGAGAUGUGUGAGUUGUAUCUUGCAAAUCGGUUGCACAUUGAUAAUAUGUAAACGCACUAGUAACUUGGUGUUAUAAAACAUAUUGUUGUGUGUGAUUCGGUGAGUGAGUGCAAGCAAGCAUUGUAUCAAAGUUUAUCCGUUCCUUUUAUCCAAGGUAGGAUAAAAGCGAUAUCUUUGGGCCCCUCGAUGAUUUAGUGAUGACAAACGUAAAUGCUCGGCCGGGCUAGGGCUAAUUUGAUUUGUUCAAUUAGUCAGUCGUCAUAAAUCGGGAAUCGAGAUAUAGUACAAAG